UCUUUCCUCUCUUACUGUUUUUGUUUUGCACAUCGUGUAAUGUAAUGUAGUGUUUUUAUCAUUUAGAACUGCCUAUUUACACUUUUAUUGUAUCAUUUUAUAGUUGUUAGCCGCCUAGAGUGGUCCUCACCGACCAGAUAGGCAGGGUAUAAAUUAAAUAAAUAAAUAAAUUCACAGAAUACUGUACUGGAGAAUAUUGUACUGUUCCAUCAAGCCCUGUUUGGGGAAACCUGGAGAACCAAACUGGCAACUAAGGGUUAAAAACAUCGAUUUCGGAUUCCUAGACGGGAAGGCGACCUUUGAAGGGGGAGACCUUUCCCUCUCCAUAGGAAAGGCUCCCUCUGCAAAGACGUCCCUUCCUGUCACUCCUUUUUCUUCCUCCGGAGGAAAGCGUGGCUUAAAGUGCUUAGAAGCCGGACUGGGAUCUGGGGAGCCUCCGCCUCUCCCCCCCCCCAUUGCAACUUAGGAGGGAUGGGUCCAGUGGCCUUUGAGGAGGUGGCUGUCUAUUUCUCCCAAGAGGAGUGGGCACGGCUGGAUGCUGACCAGAGGGCUCUGCACCAGGAAGUCAUGGAGGAGAACUGGAAAACUGUAUAUUCUCUUGGUAAGGCCCCCUCUCUCCCCAGCUAAUCUCUCUUUACCAGCACAAUAAUUUCUAGCAACAAUGAGAGCAAAAAUUCUGCUCUGGUGCUGAAAUGGUGUCUGAGCUCACACUAACUAUUGUAGUAUCCUUAAGGCUGGAUUGGGCAACCUCUGGACCUCCAGAUACGUUAAAUUCCUAGCACAGAAGCCUUCAUUUGCAAAAGUGGAAUCAGGAUGAAAAUAAUCACUGAUCUAACAAUGCUGUGACAAUUUAGAAAGCUGAUGACAUGAUGAUUUCCUAAGGACAGGGUCUUUUCAGGAUAUGGUUUACUUUACUAUUGCUUCACAAUAACAAUUUUUAUCUGCAUAUUUUAAAAAGAGCUUUGGUCAUCUUCUGCUUUAAUAUGAGAACUGAUUUAAUUAUAUUUUCAUAUGUGUAAUGUUUUGCUUUAAAAUUUCUACUUGAUAAGCACUGGUUGAUUAAUUGAUUGAUUGAUCGAUUGAUUGAUUGAUUGGAUUUUUACCCCACCCCUUUAGACCAUGUCUACUCGGGGCGGCUUACAUAGAUAAAAGAGAACAAUAUAUAAAAUAUAUAAAAUUAUAAAAUUAGUGUUACUGCUUUAUCACAGGGGUGUGAGGUGUCUCUGGUUAAAACAGAGACACCUCACCCCCUGUAAUAAAGCAGUAACAGAGAGAGAGAGAGAGAGAGAA
rnacentral:lncRNA from 1 species